rnacentral:rRNA from 1 species
CAAUAGCGUAUAUUAAAGUUGUUGCAGUUAAAAAGCUCGUAGUUGGAUUUCUGGUUGAAGCGACCGGUCGGGCGUUGAUUCGUCUGCACUGGAGUCGGUUUUGGCCAUCCUCUAGGAAAGUGCGUCUGGUAUUAAGUUAUCGGGCGUAUGAUCUUGGUCUUUUACUGUGAAAAAAUUAGAGUGUUUAAAGCAGGCCUUCGCCUUGAAUACAUUAGCAUGGAAUAAUAAGAUAGGACUUUGGUCUAUUUUGUUGGUUUGCAGACCGAAGUAAUGAUUAAUAGGGAUAGUUGGGGGUAUUUAUAUUCCGAUGUCAGAGGUGAAAUUCUUAGAUUUUCGGAAGAUAAACUUAUGCGAAAGCAUUUACCAAGGAUGUUUUCAUUAA